AUCUGAUAUGAUAAUCGCCUUUCCGUGGCAUUAGAUAUAAGUAACAGAAAUGUGAAACUAAGAAUUAU
rnacentral:ribozyme from 1 species